rnacentral:rRNA from 1 species
AACGAACGCUGGCGGCGCGCCUAACACAUGCAAGUCGAGCGCAUCCCUUUCGGGGGGUGAGCGGCGCACGGGUGAGUAAUGCGUGGGAACCUACCUCGGGGUUCGGGACAACGGCGGGAAACCGCCGCUAACACCGGGAUACGGCCGGCAGCGAUGCCGGCGAAAGGUCACGCCCUUUGAUGGGCCCACGUCCGAUUAGCUGGUGGUGGGGUAACGCUCACCAAGGCUGCGAUCGGUAGCCGGUCNGAGAGGAUGAUCGGCCACACUGGGACUGAGACACGGCCCAGACUCCUACGGGA